UUCGCAAUGCCCGAAAGGGUGACGAAGCGACGCCGCGUAGGUGAGGAAGGCCUUCGGGUUGUAAAGCCCUGUCAGGAGUUAAGAAAUGUAGACUCGCUAAUAUCGGGUCUAUUUGACAAAGGCUCCAAAGGAAGCCACGGCUAACUCUGUGCCAGCAGCCGCGGUAAUACAGAGGUGGCAAGCGUUGUUCGGAAUUAUUGGGCGUAAAGAGCACGUAGGUGGAUUUGUAAGUCAGACGUGAAAGCCUUCUGUUCAACGGAAGAAUUGCAUCUGAAACUACAAACCUUGAGUGUAGGAGGGGAGAAUGGAACUUCUGGUGGAGCGGUGAAAUGCGUAGAUAUCAGAAGGAACGCCGGCGGCGAAAGCGAUUCUCUGGCCUAUUACUGACACUCAGUGUGCGAAAGCUAGGGGAGCAAACGGGAUUAGAUACCCCGGUAGUCCUAGCCGUAAACGAUGGGCACUAAGUAGAGGGGUUUU
rnacentral:rRNA from 1 species